GGAGAGAUGGCUGAGUGGACUAAAGCGGCAGAUUGCUAAUCCGUUGUACGAAUUAUCCGUACCGAGGGUUCGAAUCCCUCUCUCUCCG
rnacentral:tRNA from 2 species